CAUGGUAACAGCUAUAAUCUUAACAUUUCCAUGAUUAAACUCAUGUUAAUCAUCCACCCAAACAAUUAUACAUCCUCCAAAUCACCAUAUAAUACUUAUAACAGAUCAUCCUUUCAAACCCAAUAAUGAACAACCACUUUACAAGAUUAAACAAUAAUCCAAACAUGUAAACAAGCUUAUUAUAACACCAUAACCUCCUAGUAAUUAUCUUAGGAUUUGUAGAACUUCUUCCACCAAGAACAUCACUAUUUAUAGCUGAAAUCAACCUUAUUUUUGGACAAGUUAAUGAUUAUGAAACUUAGAAAUAUACCUCUUGAAUUGAAGGUCUUGAAAAGAUCUUUCCAACAAGCUAUAGAACGCCAAAAUCCGAGCUAGAAAUCUUUUUCUACGAAUAUUUCUUCUCCUCCCUCUCUUUUUCUUUCUUCCCUUCGAGUUUUCUUCCUGAAGAAUGGUUAAGUUCCUGAUAUAUCAAUGUUUAUUUUGUUAAUUAGGCGGUGAAUGGCUUGCUUGGUACACGUGGCACCAUUUGGCUUGCCAACGGAAAGUCCAGAGACUUCCUGAAUUCAUCCAAGGCUUAUCACAUUUAAUCUAAUCACCUUUCUUGAAAUCUUAAAUUAAAUCUCACCAUUCUUGAUCUUGUUGACGAAUUCCAAUGAUAUAAUAAUUCCUAAUAUAUUAUUUGGGAAUUUUUGACUGU
rnacentral:lncRNA from 1 species